GAUGAAGAACGCAGCGAAAUGCGAUAAGUAAAGUGAAUUGCAGAAUUCAGUGAAUCAUCGAAUCUUUGAACGCACCUUGCGCUCUUUGGUAUUCCGAAGAGCAUGCCUGUUUGAGUGUCAUGAAAAUAUCAACCUUGACUUGGGUUUUGUGCUCUAGUCUCGGCUUGGAAUUGGGUGCUUGCCGCUUUUACGAGCGGCUCACCUUAAAUGUAUUAGCUGGAUCUGUCUUUGAGACUUGGUUUGACUUGGCGUAAUAAGUAUUUCGCUAAGGACAUUCUUCGGAGUGGCCUCGUUUCUAGGACGCUUGUCCGCUUUCCAAUACAAGUUCCACCUCGUGGACAUGACUUUUUAUUAUCUGGCCUCAAAUCAGGUAGGACUACCCGCUGAACUUAAGCAUAUCAAUAAGCGGAGGA
rnacentral:misc_RNA from 1 species